rnacentral:rRNA from 1 species
UACGUAGGCAGCAAGCGUUGUUCGGAAUUACUGGGCGUAAAGCGUGCGUAGGCGGUGCCUCAAGUUUGGUGUGAAAUCUCCCGGCUCAACCGGGAGGGUGCGCCGAAAACUGAGGUGCUCGAGUGUGGGAGAGGUAGGCGGAAUUCCUGGUGUAGCGGUGAAAUGCGUAGAUAUCAGGAGGAACACCGGCGGUGUAGACGGCUUACUGGACCAUAACUGACGCUGAGGCACGAAAGUGUGGGGAGCAAAC